rnacentral:rRNA from 1 species
CCCUUAGAUGUCCUGGGCCGCACGCGCGUUACACUGAUGCAUUCAACGAGCUUAUAACCUUGGCCGAGAGGCCUGGGCAAUCUUGUUAACGUGCAUCGUGAUAGGGAUAGAUUAUUGAAAUUAUUAAUCUUGAACGAAGAAUUCCUAGUAAACGCAGAUCAUCAAUCUGCAUUGAUUACGUCCCUGCCCUUUGUACACACCGCCCGUCGCACCUACCGAUUGGAUGGUCCGGUGAAGCCUCGGGAUUGUGGUUCUUGCCGCUUUAUUGUAGCGUGACCGCGAGAACUUGUCUAAACCUUAUCAUCUAGAGGAAGGUGAAGUCGUAACA